GAAAGCCUUAAUGAACAGACUGCUGCUUCCGUGAUCUGUCACUUCCGACAUAUCGAGCGGAACUGCGUUCACGCGAUCUACACUUAAAAACACAUUGCGUGUCUACAUGAGGAGGUUGUGUGCUUGCUGAACACAUCCCGGAACGCCCGGUACUCUGGAGGAAUUUCAGUUUUGCUCUCGGUCUCAGGAGAUUCAAUGUAAGUGGAGUUCAGGGUGACGACGGGUGGAGAGCUGAUGAAGCUGGACUUGGGACGACGAACAGGAGGUUUGACAACCGGAGACAGGCAUACGUGAAAGCAGGACUCACUCCAUUACAGCAUUUCCCCAGAGUUCCAGUUGAUGUUGGGAUCGUGUUGGGACAUUUCUUGUAACAUCCACGGGCAUCCCAGGAUGAUGUCAGUGGUGGAUCCUUCCAGCACCAUAAACGAGAUCUGUUCAUCAUUCAGGCAGCCGAUGCGGAGCGUCACAGUGGGGGAGAAGUGGCAGAUGCAACUACGGCCCAGCAGCUUGCCAAGGAUGGUGUGAAUCUCUAAUUCCUGGGAGCAGUGUUUCCUCUUGAUGUUGAGUUUUUGGAGAAGUUGAUGAGAGAUGAAGUUCUCUGCAGACCCAAUGCCAGAGUCAAUGAGGGCUUGCGCUGAAACAGUAAUUUUUGGGGUUAGGAUGUGUACUGUAGUUCUGGUCAGAGGAGCGAUUUUAUGGUACUCACCGUUGGGCGUGGUGGUCGGAUGGGACACAAUGCAGGCAUAACUGAUUGAGAAUUCUUCUUCGACGCUCUGCAUGAGUUAGAUGGUUGGAAUGGACCUGCAUAGGUUCAGCUGCUGGAAGGGUGACAGAUGGUGGACGGAGGACGCAAAGUGGGUCUUUCCAAUGAACAGGCUGAGAGACGUUGUGAAAUGAUGGCCUUUUAAAUGAAAUUCUCCAAGCAGAUGACAUCAUCAUAAAUGACCAUCUGCUGAUGCACUUCAGGGUUUAAAACUAGUUGAAAGAUGGUAAAGAGGGCAGUCUCAUUCCAGCCAUUAGAUGCUGCUAGAGUGGAGAGUACUGACUGAAGCAUUGCCUUGACGCAGGUUAAACAGCUGAUCAUGCACAGACAGUACAGAAGCAGUUUGUGCAAAGACUUCCUUAAAAUGGCUGAUAAAAGAUGUCAGUGAAUUCAUGACUUGCCUAUUAGAAUUCCAGAGAGAUUGAGCCCGCUGAAGUGCUCGACCGGAGAGGAGAGAAAUCAUGAAGGCGAUCCGCGUGCAAUCUGUGGUGAAGAGUUGUGGUUGCAUCUCGAAGUAGAGAGAACAUUGAAGUAUGAACCCGGUGCAAUCCUCCGCCUCACCUGAAGCCAGGGUGGUGCCGGAAGCUCAGGGGAUCAGGGCGGCGACCAGCUAGGCUCGGCCACUAUGGCCGGGACAUGUACUUUAUUAACCUCCUGGAGGCGUAUGGAUUAUAUUUAUGAUGGAUGGAUGUGCUUUUUUGGUCUUGGGUUCCCUUCACUACCAUGGAAAAGCCAGAUUUUUUUAAUAUAACUCUGAUUGUCUUUUAAUGAAAGAAGAUACACGUGUCAUAUACACCUAGGAUAGCUUGAGAGAGAGUAAAUUAUGGGAUAAUUUUCAUUUUUGGGUGAAUUAACCCUUAACAUCUGUUUGUUCACUUGGUCAUUGCCAUCUUCAUUUAACAUAUUAUUUUUUUAAUUUCCCCUUUGUCUUUUUCUGUUCUGCGCCCCAGAAAGUUUCCCUCCUCUGUUCAUUUUGGUCAUGUGACUGUGUCUGUUGACAUGUUCUCAUUUGAUAAUAAAAUUUUUGAACUAAUAUAAAAUGCUAAACAAAAGUGAAAUAAAAAUGUUUCGAUGUGUAUAUAAAUACAAACUAGUUAAAAGUUUGGACAGUCAGCUGCUUUUCCAACCUGUUUGUUUGGGAAGAACAAAACAUGUAGGCACAAUGUAUAUUUAUAUUCAAAAACAAUUUCAAGAACAAGCUUUUAGAUCAAAAGUUUUUUUUAAGAUGAGAAAAACAAGUUUGAGCAUCAAAACUUUGACCAGUAGUGUGUUUAUACACACAAGAUCUUUCUCAAAACUCAACGCUUCAGUUCACGACGGAUCGUUCAGGAACCAUAUGAUCUCAUUCUGAAGCACUUCAGCAAAGUGUGCCGUACUAGAAUCUAAUGUACUUCCUGUUGAGUGUCUGUGAUUGACAGUUUCAGUGUGACUUUAGUCAGUGUAAGAUUCUUGUACAAAAAGCAACAACAGGCAAAAAACUAUAACACUACUUUAGAAAAGCUACUCAUUUAUACAAAAAAAAAAAAAAAAAUUAAAAUGAAA